AAUAUAAUAUCUGCCAUUUCUCAGAUGUUUUCAUCCAAAGUGACUUAGUCAUGCGUGCGUACAUUUGUGGUACGGGUGGUCCCUGGAAUGGACUCCACUAUCCUGGCAUUACUAGCACCAUGCUCACCCUGACAGAGGACCUCAACAUCAUUGUUAUGGAUGACGUAACAUUGCACUAACAAUAGAGAAAUGUAGAGGUAUUCAGUUUGAAUUCCAGACUUAACACUGCCUAGCAGAAUGGUUUUAUAUGAUCAUGUACAUAACAAGAAAACUGAAGAUAAUCAAUGUUAGUUUCUCUCCAUCUCAGUUCAACUCAGAUUUACCACAGAUGGCUCUCAGUGCAACAAGUCACAUUUUGGUAGACUGGUCUGAAUGUGAAUAGGUUUUGUGCUUCUGUUUUUUGAAUGUAAUUUUUAUGUAAAACUCAAACCAGUUUUUCUUUGAUUUCUCCUAUGUACAAAAUGAUUAGAACGCGACCGUAGAACUGAUGGAUGAAACAUGUGUUACAGAUGCUCUUCAGGGUUAUUUGCAGAUGAUUGUUUUGUCGAAGAUUGAUCUCUUCAACACAUCUGUAAAUCCUGGACAUGCCAUUGCCAACUAUCUCAGUAUCAAUACAUGUGUCAACCCUUUUGAUAGGAGUUCAGGUCUUGAUCACCAUUUAGAUAAAGGAUAGAGAACGGCAGCAGACAUGUUCAUUUCUGUUGGAGAGCGUUAAACUGUUGCUUUCCUUGUAAGGAGACCGGAGCGCUGUCAUGUUUAAUGGAUAUACAGCCUCUGCAUUAUCCUUCCACCACCACUAGAGAGAGGUGAUGGGCAGAUGUUUAUUGGAAGAGGGAGGUGGCAACAAUUGUUUGUAUUGGAAGAGGGAGGUGGCAACAAUUGUUUGUAUUGGAAGAGGGAGGUGGCAACAAUUGUUUGUAUUGGAAGAGGGAGGUGGCAACAAUUAGAAAAAACAUGUGAGUGAAGAAGGGCAGGGGCUUUUUCCAUCAACAACAUGUGAGUGAAGAAGGGCAGGGGCUUUUUGCAUCAACAACAUGUGAGUGAAGAAGGGCAGGGGCUUUUUGCAUCAACAACAUGUGAGUGAAGAAGGGCAGGGGCUUUUUGCAUCAACAACAUGUGAGUGAAGAAGGGC
rnacentral:lncRNA from 1 species